rfam:Oryza meridionalis cultivar OR44 (W2112) chromosome 10, whole genome shotgun sequence.
GCGUGUUAGUGAUGAUUAAAGAAGUUAAAAAUGGUGAAUCCUGGAUUAAUGGGCUCGCGUGCCGCUGUGUGCGCGCGGCCGGAGAUUCUCUCUCUGUUCUUCUGUGAGUUCUUC